AUGAGUAGCAUACUAUCCCUUAGCUACAAUGAUCUUGCGCCUCAUCUCAAGACUUGCUUGCUGUAUCUAAGUUUGUUUCCCGAAGACCAUCUGAUUUACAGAGAUAGGCUAGUGAGGCGAUGGAUAGCAGAAGGCUUCAUCUCUGAAGAGCGUGGACAGAGCAAGCAAGAGGUCGCCGAGAAUUACUUCUAUGAGCUGAUCAAUAAAAGUAUGGUCCAACCGGUGGGCAUUAAGUAUGAUGGAAAGGUCCAGGCAUGCCGAGUCCAUGAUAUGAUGCUCGAAAUUAUUAUUUCAAAAUCAGCUGAAGAUAAUUUUACCACCGUGGUAGGUGGCGGUCAAACUAGUUUGCCCAAUCAUCAAGGUUCUAUUCGGCGGCUAUCAAUCCAGCACAUUGACAAGAAACUUGCAUCUGAACUGGCAAAUGUAGAUCUCAGCCAUGUUCGAACUUUGAUAGUAAUGCCAUCAUGUUGCAUAAAACACUUGCCCAGUCUUGAUCGGUUUGAAGCUUUACGUGUUCUGGAUUUUGAAGGUUGUGAGGAUCUAAAUGACUGUGAUAUAGAAGGCAUGGACAAAUUAUUCCAGAUAAAGUACCUCAGCUUUAGGGACACAUGUAUAUCAAAUCUGCCAUCAGCGAUCGUCAAGCUAAAUAAUCUAGAGACGCUGGAUGUUGAGAAUACAUCUGUGACAGAGUUGCCUGCAGGAAUUACUCGGCUAACUACACUACGAGACCUAAUUGGUUGUCUGGACAAGCUACCAAAUGGGAUUGGGGGCAUGAGGAACUUACAGUUGAUGCCAAGAUUUACUAUUACCUCGCAAGAAACAGAUGUGUUGGAGGAUCUCGGGAACCUCACAAGUUUGGAGGAACUCGAUGUGGAUCUUGGUAUGAAUGUAUUUGGCUCGGACAAGAGAUGUGAAAAGGAGGCGUUCCUCUCCUCACUGUCCAAGCUUGGCACCUGCAAACUCCAUUCUUUGGAUAUAAAAGGGUUACGUCGUUCCCUCGACUUCUUAGAUUCUUGGUCCCCUCUGCCAUAUUCUCUUCAAAGGUUUUCGGCGCCCUACCCUGAUUCGCUCACGGAUUUUCCAAAGUGGAUUACACCAGCACUCACCAACCUUGCCGAUCUGGAAAUCAGCUUUACUGAAUUGACGCAAGAUGGGCUGCUUACUCUUGGGCAACUCCCAUCCUUACUCCGCCUGAAACUAUGGCCAUCAAGGAAGAACUGA
rnacentral:rRNA from 1 species